GCUGGCGGAGAGGAAGCUGCGAGUGGACAGGACACAGGCAGACCCGAAUGACCCAGAUACUGCGAAGCAGUGACCAGUGACCCUUCGGCAACUGCAAGGUGUAUGGGCACUUCUGGAAAUUUAUCCUCUCCGUAUGUGAAUUACAAACAUGCAACAUUUUAAACAAGAUCCUAGGGGUAGAAAAACACAAUGCCUCCAAGUCAACUUGUUCGUCAAUUACAAGAAAACAGCAGUUUGGUGGAAAGUGCACCGGAAUGACUGGCAGUUCCCAGCUCUGCCACCAAUCAGCUAUGUGACCUGGGAGGUUGUAGCACUUAUGUAUUAUUUCUGACCUUGUUUUCUCUCCUACUUGAACAAUAAAGGGAUGAGAUUAGGAGGAA